rnacentral:rRNA from 1 species
UACGGAGGGGGCUAGCGUUGUUCGGAAUGACUGGGCGUAAAGGGCGCGUAGGCGGCGAUUCAAGUCAGAUGUGAAAGGCCUGGGCUCAACCCGGGAACUGCAUUUGAUACUGGAUUGCUUGAGUCCGGGAGAGGAUGGCGGAAUUCCCAGUGUAGAGGUGAAAUUCGUAGAUAUUGGGAAGAACACCGGUGGCGAAGGCGGCCAUCUGGACCGGUACUGACGCUGAGGCGCGAAAGCCAGGGGAGCAAACGGG